UGUGUGUGUGUGUGUGUGUGUGUGUGAAGGGGGGGGGGGAUGAUGGAAGGGAUUACCGUCACCUGAAGACAUAUUUUUAUACCAUUUUUUCUUCCUUUUUCGAGAGAGAGAGAGAGAGAGAGAGAGAGAGAGAGAGAUAGAGAGAGAGAGAGAGAGAGAGAGAGAGAGAGAGAGAGAGAGAGAGAGAGAGAGAGAGAGAGAGAGAGAGAGAGAGAGAGAGAGAGAGAGAGAGAUGGAUGGAUUGAUGGACAGACAGAGAUUGAGAUAAAUGGAUAAAUGGAUGAAUAGAUAGAGUAUACAAAGACAGACAGAUGGAUGGAUAGACAGAGAUACAGAGACAGAUAGAUGGAUGGAUAAAUAGUAAUAAAUAAUAAAUAAUAGCAAACAGUAACAGGCUUUGAUCAAUGAAAUAGAAAAAAAUAAAUAGUUUGAAGAGCAAGAUAAAGAAUGAAAGAGCUGCCAUACUGUAUUUGACAACAAUAAAACAAGCGAGAACAACAAUGAUAAAUGAUAAAUAGCAAUAGAUAGCAACAGGUUGUGAACAAUGAAACAGAUGAUAAACAGCUAGAAUGGAGAGAGAAACAAUGAAAGGAAUGACAAUUUAGCAUACCUUAUUAAUUACUAAAGUUCACAUGAGUGUUAUAAAAGCCUCAUGUUUUUACUUAUCAGCUGUGGGUAGCAAAUGAUAACCCUUCCUGAUAAUGCCUAACACUGACCUCAGAGUUGCUAAUCCUGCCUGACAUGCUAAACGGGUACUGUAGCAUAUUAUUAGCAUCAGUGAAUGGAUCUAUUGAAUUCCUGCCUGUGGGUUGAAGUUGUAAAGCAGAAUAUAAGAGAAGUGAUUGCAGGAUGAAAUUUCCUAAUCAACAAAAUGUGAUAAUCGGGCGAUAGAUUUAUCAGAUAACUUUGAAGCGUAGAGAUAAAGUAAACAAAUCAAUAAAUCAAUCAAUCAAUCAAUAAAUAAUAAUAAUAAUAAUAAUAAUAAUAAUAAUAAUAAUAAUAAUCGUGACACGUUUAUAUGUAACAAGAGCGAUACUGCGAGGCAAAACAUUCUAUUUUUAUAUUCAGAGCGUAGAAAAAUGAAACUAAAAUAAAAAUGGCAAUAAACAACAACAACAAUAACAAUGAAAAUAAACAAUAAUGAAAAGAUCAACGGAAUUACACGCCACUGAGAUAAGGUAGCGCACGAAAUGAAUUAUACUACCGCUCAGACGAGAGAGAGAGAGAGAGAGAGAGAGAGAGAGAGAGAGAGAGAGAGAGAGAGAGA